AUUGAGUAUAGUUGUGGGAUUAUGUGUCCAAUGUUUAAUCGUCCGUUUUAUUUGAAAUUUUUUAUGAUUAAUAUUUUUAUUGUUAUUAGAUGAUAAAACUUGAAUAGUACUUUAUGCGUGACUUUUUUUUAUUUUUUUCACAAACUUUUCAUAAACCCUACUGGACUUAAAAUGGGACGGAAGGAGUACAUUACUACUUUAAGC
rnacentral:pre_miRNA from 1 species